rnacentral:rRNA from 1 species
CAAUAGCGUAUAUUAAAGUUGUUGCGGUUAAAAAGACUCGUAGUUGGAUUUCUGUCGAAGACGGUCGGUCCGCUCUAUGAGCGUGUAUCUGAUUCGGCUUUGGCAUCCUCGUGGGGGACGUAACUGUGCUUGAUUGCAGUGGUGCGGAAUUUCACGACUUUUACUUUGAGGAAAUUAGAGUGUUCACGGCAGGCAAGCGCCUUGAAUAUAUUAGCAUGGAAUAAUAAUAUAGGACUUUGGUUUCUAUUUUGUUGGUUUCUAGGACUAAAGUAAUGAUUAAUAGGGAUAAUUGGGGGCGAUUUGUAUUAACGCGUCAGAGUGGAAUUCUUGGAUUGCGUUACGACAAACUACUGCGAAAGCAUUUGCCUAAGGAUGUUUCAUUGAUCAAGAACGAAAGUAUGGGAUCGAAGACGAUCAGAUACCAU